rnacentral:rRNA from 1 species
CGGUAAUACGGAGGAUCCAAGCGUUAUCCGGAAUCAUUGGGUUUAAAGGGUCCGUAGGCGGUCUUAUAAGUCAGUGGUGAAAUCUCCCCGCUCAACGGGGAAACGGCCAUUGAUACUGUAGGACUUGAAUUAUUAGGAAGUAACUAGAAUAUGUAGUGUAGCGGUGAAAUGCUUAGAGAUUACAUGGAAUACCAAUUGCGAAGGCAGGUUACUACUAAUGGAUUGACGCUGAUGGACGAAAGCGUGGGUAGCGAACAGGAUUAGAUACCCUGGUAGUCCACGCCGUAAACGAUGGAUACUAGCUGUUGGAAGCAAUUUCAGUGGCUAAGCGAAAGUGAUAAGUAUCCCACCUGGGGAGUACGUUCGCAAGAAUGAA